UACAGAGGUCCCAAGCGUUGUUCGGAUUUACUGGGCGUAAAGGGUGCGUAGGUGGUCGGGUAAGUCUCAUGUGAAAUCUCCAAGCUUAACUUGGAAAUGGCAUGGGAUACUAUUCGGCUAGAGGAUUGGAGGGGGGACUGGAAUUCCCGGUGUAGCAGUGAAAUGCGUAGAUAUCGGGAGGAACACCAGUGGCGAAGGCGAGUCCCUGGACAAUUCCUGACGCUGAGGCACGAAAGCCAGGGGAGCGAACGGG
rnacentral:rRNA from 1 species